rnacentral:lncRNA from 1 species
UGGGCAAGCGGCGGCGGCCGAGGCAGUCGCGCUUGGAGGAGUCGUCCGUGCUGUGCCGAAAAGAUGGCCGGGCUGUGAGGGGGCGGCGCUUGCGCUGGUGACCCCAAGUGUGCGGCUGAGGAGCGAGGGGCGCCGCCGCCGCUGCCUGCCGGGCCUGUUCCCCGCCCCCUCCCGCCGCCGGGCCCCGCGCGCACUUCCUCCCGGGCCUCCCUUUCGGGCGGGGGCCUCCCGCCCGCCGCGCCAGGCGCAGCGUGGGCCCCGCGUCCGGCAUGGCGAGAACGGCAGCGGCGCGCUCCCGCCGCAGCAGCAACCUCCGUCGCCGCUACUGCUGGCACUAGACCCGGGAAGCCGACGCCUGCGCCGUAGUCCUCGUCGUCCCGCUGCCUCCGCGCCGGCGCUGCGAUGGAGUAAGGGCCCCGCCGUCCGAAGAGAAGCGUGCCCCGCCUGGACCCCACCGGGCCCGCUCCUGUGCGCGCCAGCUCCACCCGGAGGUGCCUCCGCGGCCGGACAUGCAGCUCGAGCGCAGGCCGCCCGCCGAGCCGCGGGGCUA